GUCUUAUUGAAAAUAAUUUUAAGUCGAUCUGCCCAAUGAAUAAUUAAAUGGCUGCAGUAUAAUUGACUGUACAAAGGUAGCAUAAUAAAUUGGUUUUUAAAUGAAAUCUAGAAUGAAAGAAUUAAUGAAAUAUAUACUGUCUCAUAUUUAUUUUAUGAAUUUAAAUUUUUAAUAAAAAUGUUAAAAUUUAUUUAUGGGACGAUAAGACCCUAUAGAAUUUUAUAUUAAAUUAAUUUUAUUAUAAAAUAAAAUUUAGUUUAAUAUUUGAUUGGGAGAAUUAUUAAAUUUAAUAAAUUUUAAUUAAAAUAAACUUAAAUUAAAGAAAAUAUUUUGAUCUUUAAAUUAAAAUUAUUAGAAUAAAUUACCUUAGGGAUAACAGCGUUAUAUUUUUUUAUAGAUCUUAUAGAAAAAAAUGAUUGCGACCUCGAUGUUGAAUUAAGAUAAAUUUUAAAUGUAGAAGUUUAAUAAUUAAGUCUGUUCGACUUUUAAAAUCUUACAUGAUUUGAGUUCAAAUCGACGUAAGU
rnacentral:rRNA from 1 species